GGACACAAUCAGUAGCCAAACUGAUGCUGGGAGUGGACAGCACAAUUCUAUAUACCCAAUUCCUCCCCAACCCAACCACAAAUAUUCAGGAGUUGACUACAUGGAAGAAUCUGCGUUUGACACAUUCCAUCAGACAUAUAUGGCUAGUCCACUCUGACAGAUUGUGGGGUUAUAAGAUGAAGACCCAAGCCUCUGCCCCUUAAAAGGAACCACUAGUGGAAAAGUUUAUAUACAUUGUUUGAAUGAAAAACAAGUUUCAUAAUUAAGGUCAGGUGUCUUGAAGUUCUGAUCCAAAAUGCACUAUGGGUGGUUAUGGAGGAGUAACAAGGAAUUGGCUAUGACUAAGGCAAUCCAUAAAGCAUACUGAAUUAAGAAGGAAACCUUAAGAGUUGAGAACAUACCCCCAGGAAGUGGAAGAAAGAGUGGAAAUGACAAGAAUCCUCUUGGAGUAGAAUGUGCCAACGCCUAAUUUUGGGAACACUGGCUGUUAAGUAUUCAGAUUUUAAGUGCAGUUUUGCUAAUUCCCUGAAGGGCUGGUGAAUUAUAGGACUCCCACAUCAUUUCUGAGUAAUCAGAAUUGCCAAAUGAAACCAAAUGAACUUUCCCAGGCUCAGAGACUCGGUUUUCAGUGUGACUUCAGAGGCUGUACAGUCCAACUCUCGCCCAAUGCAGCACUAACUCAGGAUACAGUCUUACCGAAAAAGAAGUCCACUGAUGACUGCUUUCUACUUUGCAUCAUGCACAUUUUAAGCAUAAUGCUUAAAAACAAAAACAAAACCUGAAGAGCCAGGCUGGUGAGGGAUCUGGAAAUCAGCCAAAGAACUGGGAUGUUAGUUUAGAGAAGAGAAAAUCUAGAAAUGUGGCCUCUGUACUUUGUAAUACUCACAGAGCUAUCAUAUCAAGGAGUAAUCAGAGACUACACUGUUAGGUCCUAGUGAAGAGACCUAGGAACAAAGAAUAAAAAUACAGAGAUGCAUUAUCUUAGCUUGUUAUGAAGAAGAAUUCUCAGUAAACAGAAUUUCCAACAAUAAACUCUGAGCAAAAAUUAUAUAAUAUUCAAGCUCUUCUCAGUAAAGAGAUUUGUGGAAUGAUUUGCUCUUUUGUUGUGAAU